AACGAACGCUGGCGGCGCGUCUUAAGCAUGCAAGUCGAACGGCAAGAUUAGUGCUUGCACUAAUCCUAGAGUGGCGGACUGGUGAGUAACGCGUGGGUGACGUACCCUUCUGAUGGGGAUAGCUACUAGAAAUAGUAGAUAAUACCGAAUACGAUUCCGUAAGUUAGAGGUGCGGAAUGAAAGGAGCUUCGGCUCCGCGGAAGGAACGGCCCGCGUCUGAUUAGCUAGUUGGCGGGGUAACGGCCCACCAAGUCGACGAUCAGUAGCCGAACUGAGAGGUUGAUCGGCCACAUUGGGACUGAGACACGGCCCAAACUCCUACGGGAGGCAGCAGUGGGGAAUAUUGCACAAUGGGCGCAAGCCUGAUGCAGCGAUGCCGCGUGAGGGAAGAAGGUUUUAGGAUUGUAAACCUCUGUCUUCAGGGACGAUAAUGACGGUACCUGAGGAGGAAGCUCCGGCUAACUACGUG
rnacentral:rRNA from 1 species